UACGAAGAACCCGAGCGUUAUCCGGAUUUACUGGGUUUAAAGGGUGCGUAGGUGGACCCAUAAGUCAGUGGUGAAAGCCUCCCGCUUAACGGGAGAACUGCCAUUGAUACUGUGGGUCUUGAGUAUAGUUGAGGUAGGCGGAAUAUGUCAUGUAGUGGUGAAAUACUUAGAUAUGACAUAGAACACCGAUUGCGAAGGCAGCUUGCUAAGCUAUAACUGACACUGAUGCACGAAAGCGUGGGGAGCAAACAGG
rnacentral:rRNA from 1 species